GAGUUUGAUCGUGGCUCAGAUUGAACGCUGGCGGCAUGCCUUACACAUGCAAGUCGAACGGCAGCACGGGAGCUUGCUCCUGGUGGCGAGUGGCGAACGGGUGAGUAAUGCAUCGGAACGUAUCCUGGAGUGGGGGAUAACGUAGCGAAAGUUACGCUAAUACCGCAUAUUCUGUGAGCAGGAAAGCGGGGGACCUUCGGGCCUCGCGCUCUUGGAGCGGCCGAUGUCGGAUUAGCUAGUUGGUGAGGUAAAGGCUCACCAAGGCGACGAUCCGUAGCAGGUCUGAGGGGAUGAUCUGCCACACUGGAACUGAGACACGGUCCAGACUCCUACGGGAGGCAGCAGUGGGGAAUUUUGGACAAUGGGGGCAACCCUGAUCCAGCCAUGCCGCGUGAGUGAAGAAGGCCUCGGUUGUAAGUAC
rnacentral:rRNA from 1 species